AGGCAUCACCAGGGAGAUGAUGAAGAAGGGCAGCCAGCACACAAUAAAUGCUCCUAAAAUGAUCCCUAGGGUCUUGGUGGCUUUGCGCUCCCUAGCGGCCAUGAGUUUCUUCUUUUCCAGCAGGGCGUCUGAGACUCUCACUUUGACUUGGUUCACGUACACAGGAGACCCGGACUCACUGGGCACGUCCGGAGCCCGGGAGUUAAUGGAGGUGACCGAGGACGUGGAUCCCGGGGAGUCUGUUAUCAACUGGGCUCGGGUCAAGCGCUUGCCGGUCUUGUUGGGUGUCUGUUUCAAAAUCCGAGAGCGGGCUUCCACAUAGAUGCGGCCAUAGAGGGCGAUGAGGAGCAGGGUGGGUAAAUAGAAAGCGCCCACCGUGGAGUAGACCGUGUAGAGGACAUGGUCGGUGUUCACAAAGCAGUCCAGCAUCUCCUCCUCCGCUUUGGCUUGACGCCAGAAGAAGGGUGGCAACGAAAUAGAGAUGGAGAAGACCCACACCAGCACGAUCAUGAUGGCCGCCCUUUUGGGAGUCCUUUUAGCAGAAUACUCCACCGCAUCAGUGAUGGCCCAGUAGCGGUCCAAGGCGAUGACACAGAGAUGCAUGAUGGAAGCAGUGCAACAGGUGAUAUCCGACGACAGCCAGAAGUCGCAGACCACCUGGCCUAGUGUCCAGCGUCCAGUGACCGUGUACAUGGUGCUGAUGGGCAUCACCAGGAUGGACACGAGCAGCAAUUUCAAAGCAAAACUGCAAAACUUCAAGUAUCAUUUACAAGAAGGAUCUAUGCGAGGCACAAAGCAAAUCUCAAGCAACUGAAACUGACAGUUAAUCAAAAAAGAUGAUUAAGAAAAUAGCUGUAAUCAAAGGAAAUAACUUCUCUAUCAACAAUCAGCAUAGGCCACGACUGCAAGCUCCUGCUGCCUGCACUUCCUUGCCAUGAUGGACUGUACCUUGAAUCCUGUACUAAAAGAAACCUGUUCUUUCAUAAGUUGCUUUCGUCAGAGUAGAAUGCUCACAGCAACAGAAGAGAAACUAGGACAUCUUAUAAAGUUGCACUUCAUGAAUUGCCAGCACCCAAAUCUAACUCAACCCUCCCAAGUAUACAGAGCCAUGUUCUAUCUUGUCCUUGUCAAACACCCCUGUUUUCUCUCAGGUACUUAAAAAGGCUGAUGGCUGACACUUUGGCUACAAAAAUGUAUAACUACGUUGUCUUGAUCCAUUCUUCACUCGGUAGAUUAUUGCUUUGGAUCCUAAGUGCCAAUAUUUUUUUUUCUGUGUAUAUUAAAUGAAAAGGUCUAAAAUACUGGUGACUUCUCUUGUUAGAAAGGUUUACUUUUCUGUCAAAUGUGUACUUUAUUUUCAGUAUUAGAGUAUGCUUUUAUUAUGUCUAUUUUUUCUCUACUACUGCUUGACUAUAACAGACUAGUUAUGAGAAUUUGUCCUAAGGUAGUACAUUUUAAGAUUAAAACUUUGGGCUGUGGGGAGUUCUCAGAUCAUUGUCAGUUUGGUUCCAAAAGGAAUGUGAGACCCCAAUUCUCUUUUAUUCUUCUUUCUUCUUCUUAAUCAUGAGGUAAAGCAGUUUACCAUUUGUGCCAUCUUGGGCCUCUUGCAUCCUUAACUCCAGUCCAAAUAUAGGUUAAUGAAAUCUUAGAAUUUUCAAUCCAAAAGCAUGAGACAAAACACACCUUUCGUCUUCAUCGAUCAAUCAUUUAACAUUUUGGUUGUUAUAGUAAUAAGAAAGAACUAACAAAGACCUUUCAUGUCCUGAGAGAGGGAUCAUAUAUUUUAUUAAAUAUUUUAUGGUGCUAUUUUUAUUACGUUUGCAUUUUAAGUAUGAGUGUGCAUAGAAAAUUGGCAUUUAAUUGAAUAUGAUUUAUAAAUUUAAAAUUGCUGAGUAUUUUGAGCCAUAAAAAUUAUGCUGCAUUUGUUUUUGUUUUGUGCAUAUGUAUACUUAUUUUUACUUAUUAUCAAUGUUUUAUUGUUUAAAAACAGAUGAAU